CUGAAUAGUAGUAGCCCAAAGGGGCACCAGAUCCUGUCUGAUCUGAGAAGCUAAGCAAGGUCAGCCCUGGUUGGUACUUAGAUGGGAGACAGCCAAUGAAAGCUAGGUGCUGUGGACU
rnacentral:rRNA from 11 species